AGGAGCCGAAGAAGGACGGGACUAACACCGAUAUGCUUUGGGGAGCUGUACGUAAGCGUUGAUCCAGAGAUUUCCGAAUGGGGGAACCCACUAUCUUUAGUCGGAUAGUAUCCUUACGUGAAUACAUAGCGUGAGGAAGGCAGACCCAGGGAACUGAAACAUCUAAGUACCUGGAGGAAGAGAAAGAAAAAUCGAUUUCCUGAGUAGCGGCGAGCGAAACGGAAAGAGCCCAAACCAAGAAGCUUGCUUCUUGGGGUUGUAGGACACUCUAUACGGAGUUACAAAAGAAAGUUAUAAAUGAAGCGGUCUGGAAAGGCCCGCCAAAGACGGUAACAGCCCGGUAGUUGAAAUGGCUUUCCCUCCAGAGUGGAUCCUGAGUACGGCGGAACACGUGAAAUUCCGUCGGAAUCCGGGAGGACCAUCUCCCAAGGCUAAAUACUCCCUAGUGACCGAUAGUGAACCAGUACCGUGAGGGAAAGGUGAAAAGCACCCCGGAAGGGGAGUGAAACAGUUCCUGAAACCGUGUGCCUACAAGUAGUUAGAGCCCGUUAAUGGGUGAUAGCGUGCCUUUUGUAGAAUGAACCGGCGAGUUACGAUUUGUUGCAAGGUUAAGCGGAAAAAGCGGAGCCGUAGCGAAAGCGAGUCUGAAUAGGGCGCAUAAGUAACAGGUCGUAGACCCGAAACCAGGUGAUCUACCCAUGUCCAGGAUGAAGGUAAGGUAAUACUUACUGGAGGUCCGAACCCACGCACGUUGAAAAGUGCGGGGAUGAGGUGUGGGUAGCGGAGAAAUUCCAAUCGAACUUGGAGAUAGCUGGUUCUCUCCGAAAUAGCUUUAGGGCUAGCCUCGAGGUAAAGAGUCAUGGAGGUAGAGCACUGUUUGGACUAGGGGCCCUUCUCGGGUUACCGAAUUCAGAUAAACUCCGAAUGCCAUGUACUUAUACUCGGGAGUCAGACUGCGAGUGAUAAGAUCCGUAGUCGAAAGGGAAACAGCCCAGACCACCAGUUAAGGUCCCCAAAUAUAUGUUAAGUGGAAAAGGAUGUGGGGUUGCUUAGACAACCAGGAUGUUGGCUUAGAAGCAGCCACCAUUGAAAGAGUGCGUAAUAGCUCACUGGUCGAGUGACCCCGCGCCGAAAAUGUACCGGGGCUAAACAUAUUACCGAAACUGUGGAUGAACCUCUUUAGAGGUUCGUGGUAGGAGAGCGUUCUAAGGGCGGUGAAGUCAGACCGGAAGGACUGGUGGAGCGCUUAGAAGUGAGAAUGCCGGUAUGAGUAGCGAAAGAAGGGUGAGAAUCCCUUCCACCGAAUAUCUAAGGUUUCCUGAGGAAGGCUCGUCCGCUCAGGGUUAGUCGGGACCUAAGCCGAGGCCGAUAGGCGUAGGCGAUGGACAACAGGUAGAGAUUCCUGUACCAGUGCUAAUUGUUUAACCGAUGGGGUGACACAGAAGGAUAGGGAAUCGCACGAAUGGAAAUGUGCGUCCAAGCAGUGAGUGUGAG
rnacentral:rRNA from 1 species